CAAGUCGGACGCUGAUUUCACCGUAGCAAUACGGUGAGGUCGGAGUGGCGUAAGGGUGCGUAACACGUGGGUAAUUUGCCGUGAAGUUUGGGAUAACUUGCUGAAAGGCGAGCUAAUACCGGAUGUGACUAUUGGGAGGCAUCUCCUGAUAUUUAAAGUUGGGGACCGCAAGGCCUGACGCUUCACGAUAAGCCCGCGGCCUAUCAGCUAGUUGGUGAGGUAACGGCUCACCAAGGCUAAGACGGGUAGCUGGUCUGAGAGGACGACCAGCCACACUGGAACUGAGACACGGUCCAGACACCUACGGGUGGCAGCAGUCGAGAAUUUUUCACAAUGGGCGAAAGCCUGAUGGAGCGACGCCGCGUGGGGGAUGAAGGGCUUCGGCCCGUAAACCCCUGUCAUUUGCGAACAAACCUUUUCAUUGAACAGAUGAAAAGCUGAUUGUAGCGAAAGAGGAAGGGACGGCUAACUCUGUGCCAGCAGCCGCGGUAAUACAGAGGUCCCAAGCGUUGUUCGGAUUCACUGGGCGUAAAGGGUGCGUAGGUGGUGGGGUAAGUUUGAUGUGAAAUCUCCGAGCUUAACUCGGAAAUGGCAUUGAAUACUACUCUGCUAGAGGAUCGGAGGGGAGACUGGAAUUUUCGGUGUAGCAGUGAAAUGCGUGGAUAUCGAAAGGAACACCAGUGGCGAAAGCGAGUCUCUGGACGACUCCUGACACUGAGGCACGAAAGCUAGGGGAGCAAACAGGAUUAGAUACCCUGGUAGUCCUAGCCGUAAACGGUGCACAUUUGCUGUAAGAGGAAUC
rnacentral:rRNA from 1 species